AUUGGGCUAUUUACACCCGGCCCCCUCACCCUCCGCCCUCCGGCUCCACAAAGCCCAACAAGCUGUGGCUCUAGCCACUUAAAGGUUAUGUUAACAAGUUUGUAAGUCCCGGUUCUGAAGCACAGCACGCUACGACUCGGGAUCGGAGUUAAUGUGAGUUCAUGUGGCGGCCCCUGAGGCCAAAGUUUAGAAGCAAAAACAUGUUCUAUCUCUUUCACACCCCACCCCCCCCCCCCCCCUCUCUAGCACAGACACACACACAGACAGACACGCACGCAUGCACACACACGCACAGCUUGUAAGCCAAAAGCAAGUUUUCUCUGCACCUAAAACCCCACUGCAUGCGUGCGCAAGGCUGCUGGAUGUUGCAAUGCAGAAGUGGCCGUUACAGAGAAUGCAGUAAGACUGAGAGACCAAUGGAGGAAGAGUCACUGAAGAUGCACAUGAGUAAGAGGAAAAGGACAAAUAAUAAAAAUAAAAAGGUUUGAGGGCCGGGAAAGAGAAGAAGAAGAAGAAGGAGAAACAAAUGAAUGGCAAACAGACAGAAAUAUAGAGAAAGAGACAGAGAGGAAGUGCAAAGGCGUUAGCAAAGUUCCGUUGUGAGGCAUGAGGCCCAGGAGAGCAGGCCUGGGUUCCCAUGGCAACCCAGGUUCAUGCCUGAAUCUCUGCCACUGGAACAGGUUUUUUAUUUAUUUUCUUUUCUUUUUGGGGGGUGGAAUUGGGGUUUGCAUAUCUUCAAAGCCUGGAAUAACAAAAACAGUUUUGGAGUGAAUGUUCUUCAUCUCUCUGUCUAAUCCAUCACAAAUAAAAUAUGAAUGACUUUGUAGUUGACAAAUUAUGUGUGGGGUAUCAACAAUAGUGUAAAUGUCUUCCAAGAGGAACCAGUUUUUAUCCAAAUAAAGUUACAAGCAAGCCAAAAAACCUGUAUUGAUCAAAACCUCAUGUUUGUGAGAAUAUUUCUUUUUAAGUUUUAAUCAGUUCAAGCAGUGCAAAAAAAAGAAAACAGUAUGAAGUUGUAAACCAGUUUUUAAAAAUUUUGCAUCACUAAAAUGGUCUGUAAUAAAAACACAUUUAUCAAUUUAUCUGUUACUAUUCACUUGUGCUCUUGCAAUCAUGUGAUCCUAAUUCCCCUCUCGAUUAGUCUCCCUCUCUCCCUCUCCCUUUCACCCUCUCUCCUUCUCUCUCUGUCUCUCUCCCCCUCUCUAUUUCCCCCUCCUGAUCUCUCCCCAUCUCUCAGUGUCCUGUUGUCCAGUUUCAGGGGACAUUAUGACUUCAUAUUUCAGGGGAAGCUUGUUAAGGAAAGCAGAAGAGAGUUCAGCCUUAAAUCUUCUCAAUAAUUCAUGGACACUGCUCUACAGAUGCCAAACCAGGAGGGGGUUUCUGUGCGGCUUUGCUCUGGUGAAUCAUGGACAUGAGGGAGCUGAAUUUUCCAGGAGAAAGGGUUUGAGGAGGUGUUACGCAAUGCUCUGUUUAAUGUGGGAUCUUCCUGGAAAUCUAUGGGAUCAUGACUGACUGAAGGAGACCUGACACAUUCCCAACUCCCUCAGGAGUGUGUCUGUUCUCAUGAAAUAGCUUAAAGGAAACUCUGUCACUCCCACAGUACUGACCUGGCAGGACAGUCCCAAAGGACGGGGGAGGUGAUGUCAUGCGGGGUUUUUAGUGCUACAGGCUGACUCAACGAUGAAUCUGAUGAUAGACACAUUGGAAUGGGUGUGUAAAAUAAGUAAUAAAAACCCUCUGACUUACUCGCCUGUUUUCCGGUACCUGCUCUUAACAGCAGCAGAAGACGCAGCUGGUCCUCUGGUAUUGAAUACACUCUUCUCUUCUGGGGAAAUCCCCCCCCCCGACCUUUAACCCCUGCAGAGGCCCAGCACCCCACUCACGCUGCAGCCAGAGGGAAAUGAUAAAGUUGCAUAAACAUGACGCACCGUUUGGGGAUGCUGUCUGAAGCCUAUCCUUUUUGGAGCGCAUUGGUUAUUUUUUUUGUUAUGACUCCAGUUAUGGGAACAUGGUGACUGACAUCACUGCAUGCGCCGUAUAGAUGAAGCGGCUGCUGACUGCAUCAGAAUCAGCACGAGUACACGGCACAACUGCAUAUCCAUCUGCCCUGGAAGAAUCCUUCACCUUCUCUUAUAAGCGAUUAAAACAAAGCUCCUGUUGCUCCACACUGCUCAGAACCAGACGCUGAGGCCCCUCCAGCUGAUCUCUCUGAACUGACUUUCACAGACAAACCCAACUCAACCGGCUGCAUACUGCCACCUGCGGGUGAAUUGAGGGACUGCUGUGACACCAAACUCCAGACUUAUGAAUGCACCUGUACGUCAGGGGACCUGGAAAGCUCCAGUGGCUGUGGUGGUCGGUUUCCUUCAAAUCAAGAGCAAAUUAAUUAAAUUAAAUUAAGUGCUAAAACCCAUAUUGUACGUAUGUAUCUUGUAUGUGUGUAUGUGUAUUGAUGCACCAAAGCUCUCUUCAGCUCUCUGCA